AUAGAGAGGGCUCUCGCGUUAUAUGUAGGCGUAUACCGUGGCCCCCGAUGAUCGUAUCCAACAGCUCCAUCGGGUCAUCGCCCUCACCCUGCCCCCGGUGCUGGCGCUCGCGAGCGAUCGGUAGAGAAAAGGACACGAGAGAACAAGAGCGAGAUAGGUAGAAGAAAGGAAGACGUUGGAAACAUGCCGGGCUAUGGAGACUCCAAGUCCGAGAGCGAUUCUCAUGAGCAUGAAAGAGGUUCUUCGAAAAGCAGAAACAGGGAGAGAGAUAAGGAGAGGGAAAGGUAUAGAGGACGAGAACGGGACAGGGAACGUGAUGAGGAAAGGGAGAGGGAUCGGGAACGAGAUAGGGACAGGGAUCGUGAUCGUCAUCACAGGAGGGAGCACAGCCGCGGGAAAUCUGAUGAUCAUGACCAUUACCGUAGCCGAGAUCAUGAAAGGUAUAGGGACUAUGAGAGAGACAGAGACAAGUACGAUGGACAUACGUCUCGAUCUCGGUCAAGGGGUAGAUCUCAUCAUAGAUCAAGAUCGAGGGGUACAUCUGAUCAUAGAUCAAGGUCUCGUUCCCGCUCAAGGUCAAAGAGCAAACGUAUCAGCGGUUUUGACAUGCCACCUGUGGCUACUAUGAUACCUGGUGCAGUCAUUGCAGGUCAGAUGACUGGGACCACAAGUGCUAGUCCUGGAAUGUUUCCAAACAUGUUUCCAUCAACACCUGGACAGUUGUCAGCUCUCUCUUUGAUGCCUUAUCAGGCAAUGACGCAACAGGCAACUCGACAUGCUCGGCGUGUUUAUGUUGGCGGCCUUUCUCCUACUGCUAAUGAGCAGUCGGUUGCUGCUUUUUUUAACCAGGUUAUGGCAGCAAUUGGAGGGAACACUGCUGGGCCAGGUGAUGCUGUUGUUAAUGUGUAUAUAAAUCAUGAGAAGAUGUUUGCUUUUGUUGAAAUGAGGUCAGUGGAAGAAGCAAGCAAUGCAAUGGCCUUGGAUGGCAUCAUAUUUGAGGGAGCACCUGUGAAAGUGAGAAGGCCAACUGAUUACAACCCUGCUCUUGCUGCUACACUCGGCCCAAGCCAACCCAACCCCAAUCUUAACCUUGCUGCUGUUGGCCUUACACCAGGUUCUGGUGGUGUGCUUGAGGGUCCUGAUCGUAUUUUUGUGGGUGGGAUUCCACACUUUCUUACAGAAGAAAAGAUACGAGAGUUGCUUGAGAUGUUUGGUCCUCUUCGAGGUUUUAAUCUCGUCAAGGACAGGGAAACCGGCAACUCAAAAGGCUAUGCCUUCUGUAUUUACCAGGACCUUGCAGUCACAGACAUUGCAUGUGCCGCACUUAAUGGCAUCAAAAUGGGAGAUAAAACUCUUACUGUUAGACGUGCAAACCAAGGUUUAACACAGCCUAGGCCAGAACAAGAAAAUUUGUUACUGCAGGCUCAACAGCAAGUGGCGUUGCAGAAGCUUGCUUUCCAAAUGGCACCCCUUCCAACCAAGGUAGUAUGCUUAAAACAGGUUGUUAGUGAAGACGAAUUGAAAAAUGAUGAAGAAUUUGAAGAUAUUGUAGAAGACAUGAGAUGUGAAGGCGAGAAGUAUGCCUUUUGUCCAACCUUAUGCUAUUGAGAAUCUGGCUUAACCCACUGAAGAUACCAUAGUAAGCUGGUAAAUGUUAUCAUCCCUCGACCUGGUCCAAAUGGAGAAUCAUCUCCUGGAGUUGGAAAGGUAUUCUUGGAAUAUGCUGACACAGAAGGAUCUACAAAAGCCAGGCAGGGGAUGAAUGGCAGGAAAUUCGGGGGCAGAGAAGUUGUUGCCAUCUUUUAUCCAGAGAGCAAGUUUGCCCAAGGAGAAUACGAUGGCUAGUUGCAUCUUUUUCCUUUUAGUAUGUUUUCCUCCUUGGUAUCUUUAUUCUCUGCCAAUGUGCGACGGUUAUGAGGUUUUUCCGGAGGCUCUGGUGCAAUUCGGAGUUGUACAAUAUUAGUUGAUUUUUCAUGUACAACUUAAAAGGAAAUAUGUUUCUGACGUGCUGUUACUGUUAUGAUAACUCGCAUGAUACAAAAACUUUUUAAAAUAUUCUUGUUGUUCCAAAA